GACGAACGCUGGCGGCGUGCUUAACACAUGCAAGUCGUACGGUAAGGCCCUUUCGGGGGUACACGAGUGGCGAACGGGUGCGUAACACGUGAGUAACCUGCCCACAACUUUGGGAUAACGCUAGGAAACUGGUGCUAAUACUGGAUAUGUUCUCCUGCUGCAUGGUGGGGGUUGGAAAGCUCCGGCGGUUGUGGAUGGACUCGCGGCCUAUCAGCUUGUUGGUGGGGUAGUGGCCUACCAAGGCGGCGACGGGUAGCCGGCCUGAGAGGGUGACCGGCCACAUUGGGACUGAGAUACGGCCCAGACUCCUACGGGAGGCAGCAGUGGGGAAUAUUGCACAAUGGGCGCAAGCCUGAUGCAGCAACGCCGCGUGCGGGAUGACGGCCUUCGGGUUGUAAACCGCUUUCAGCAGGGACGAAGCUUUUUGUGACGGUACCUGCAGAAGAAGCACCGGCUAACUACGUG
rnacentral:rRNA from 1 species